CGCCGGAUUCUGACUGCUGCGCGCGACUUUCUUGUUUUGGCCAUAUCUUCCUCGUCCGAACUUGGAUUUGCGAUCCGUUUGCGCUCACGAACUCGUAUCGAGAUGAUCUACAACUUCUAUUUCAGGACAUUGUUCCAAAUUCGAACUCAAUAAAUCUGCAAAUUCCUUCAAAGUUCGAGUAAGAAUCAUGUUUCACAAGAUAAAGCAAAUUAAGCACAAAACAAUCAUCCAACACUCAAUUUCCUAUAAAAUUAACAUCAUAAUAACAUUAAAAACCAUGGAAACAUGAGUGUUA
rnacentral:lncRNA from 1 species